rnacentral:rRNA from 1 species
CUUACUGCUCGAACGCUUCUUUCCUCCCGAGUGCUUGCACUCAAUUGGAAAGAGGAGUGGCGGACGGGUGAGUAACACGUGGGUAACCUACCCAUCAGAGGGGGAUAACACUUGGAAACAGGUGCUAAUACCGCAUAACAGUUUAUGCCGCAUGGCAUAAGAGUGAAAGGCGCUUUCGGGUGUCGCUGAUGGAUGGACCCGCGGUGCAUUAGCUAGUUGGUGAGGUAACGGCUCACCAAGGCCACGAUGCAUAGCCGACCUGAGAGGGUGAUCGGCCACACUGGGACUGAGACACGGCCCAGACUCCUACGGGAGGCAGCAGUAGGGAAUCUUCGGCAAUGGACGGAAGUCUGACCGAGCAACGCCGCGUGAGUGAAGAAGGUUUUCGGAUCGUAAAACUCUGUUGUUAGAGAAGAACAAGGACGUUAGUAACUGAACGUCCCCUGACGGUAUCUAACCAGAAAGCCACGGCUAACUACGUGCCAGCAGCCGCGGUAAUACGUAGGUGGCAAGCGUUGUCCGGAUUUAUUGGGCGUAAAGCGAGCGCAGGCGGUUUCUUAAGUCUGAUGUGAAAGCCCCCGGCUCAACCGGGGAGGGUCAUUGGAAACUGGGAGACUUGAGUGCAGAAGAGGAGAGUGGAAUUCCAUGUGUAGCGGUGAAAUGCGUAGAUAUAUGGAGGAACACCAGUGGCGAAGGCGGCUCUCUGGUCUGUAACUGACGCUGAGGCUCGAAAGCGUGGGGAGCAAACAGGAUUAGAUACCUGGUAGUCCACGCCGUAAACGAUGAGUGCUAAGUGUUGGAGGGUUUCCGCCCUUCAGUGCUGCAGCAAACGCAUUAAGCACUCCGCCUGGGGAGUACGACCGCAGGUUGAAACUCAAAGGAAUUGACGGGGGCCCGCACAAGCGGUGGAGCAUGGUUAAUUCGAAGCAACGCGAAAACUUACCAGGCUUGACAUCCUUGACCACCUAAAUAGCUUUCCCUUCGGGGAAGGAGGGGGCAUGGUCUCAGCUCAGUCCCACACUUGUAGCUCAUUUGGCAACAAAAA